UUCUCGCUUUGGGUGCGAGAGGUCCCGAGAUCGAUUCUCGGAAUGCCCCAUUGAUAUUUUUUGAUAGUAUGGUGCAUUGAUAGAAUCUUAUAGGUAUUGCAUGUGAAUUUUUCUUUGGUCUGGUUUUAGAUCAAAACACAUUCAGUAAUUUCUAAAAAUUACCUAGUCUAUAUUACAUACAACCAACCUCUCCAAAAAUAUUAUGUACUAAGUCCGAAAAGUCUACUGAUUGAAUUAUAGCCAUGUACAACUUUUAAUCCAAGUUAUGUUUGGGAAAACAUAAAUUAUUGUACGCUGAAUAAACAAACUACAAAAAUGAAAAAAAAAAUAGUUUGAAAAACUAAUCAAUAAACCUUUAGACUCGUCAAAAUCAAACCCUUAUUGUAGUAAAUUUCUUACAGGAACCAUCAAACUGGUUGUUUUGUCUUGUCUCCAAAGGAUGGUAAAGACUAAAAAAUGGUCGCACAGAUUUCUGAAUAUCAUAUUCAGCCUUCAUUAUUUGGCUAAAGUCAACUAAGAGAACAUCCUCAGAAAGGGCCAAUACUGUGACCUUCAACCAUGCAUCUAAUAUGCUUAGCAAUCGGGUGUUUGGUCUAGUGGUAUGAUUCUCGCUUUGGGUGCGAGAGGUCCCGAUUUCAAUUCUCGGAAUGCCCCAUUGAUAUUUUUUGAUAGUAUGUUGCAUUGAUAAAAGCUUAUAGGUAUUGCAUCUGAAUUUUUCUUUGUUCUGGUUUUGGAACAAAAAAGAUUUAGUAAUAUCUAAGAAUUACCUAGUCUAUCUUAUACAAUAAAGGAUAGUUGUCUCUCUCCUCCUUCCUCCACAUCAUUGUUUUAGUAUGGGCAAAAUUGGACACGUGGCAGGUGAUUUUUUUUGGUUCACUCUUUCUUUUUUUACGUUUUGAGUGUUGGGCCUCUUAUUUUGUCUUUUGUUAUUAUAGUUUUCUGGAUUUUGGGCUUUUACAAGACGUUUUUGUUCAGACCAAUCACGUGUAGGGUUUCAAUAUCUUCUUAACUUUAACAUUCAUAGCUCAGCAAGUCAGCAUCCUUGCUAAGCCGUCGAUCAACUCACUAUAACGUAUCUAAUUUGCAUUAAAACUUACUUUAAUCCGAGUUUUAACGUGAUUACCCCCACCUCCUACUCUCAAAACAUUCAAUUGGACUCAUCGUCUCCCAAUUAAACCGACGGGGGCUCCGACUAUAAAUCUCCUAGCGAUGACAGCACAACUUCACCAAAUCGAGAAGAACGAGGACCAGUCUCCAAGGUCUUCCGAUCCGUUCACCCUCUCGAUCACUCUCUAACUUUCGUUAUCAUCUCCUUGCUACUUUCGAUUUCAAAAUUUUAGUGUUUUUUCUUUGUUUUUUAUGUGGGAUAGUGUUGGAGAUCAAGAGAUCAAAGGAUUGAUCUUUUGAUUUUAACACGAUUAUAAUUUUAUGUGCAGGAAGAUGACAGGCUUAAGAGUAUGUGAUCAGUGAUGCUACUGCGAUUGUCCAGACAAGUUUAUAGCAUCGUAUAAUAUCAUGGACGGUACUGUAUACCAGGCUCCACAGCGUUGUAGUGUCUUUGCAGCUCGAGUUGUUGGCUGUUUAUAAUAUUUAGAAGGCUUUCUCUGCAGCUGCAUUAAAGUAGGAGACCAUUAGGCAGGUUGAUGCCAAAAACCAGAAUGAGCCUUCUGAGACAAAGCCCCCAAUAAUACACAAUCUUUCACACCACUUCUCUUUCGAUUCAUCAAAAGAUGUCUUCAUAGAAAACAUGAAGCAACACACCUUAUAUAAGAAAAAAACGGAAUUGAACAGUAUAUAUGUCGAAGAAGUCAAGACUUCUUUGAGCAACGCGUUUCUUCAGGCCGAUCUUGCUUUAGCAAAGGACUGCAACAAAGGCUCUUUUCUCAGGUUUUUCUUCUGGUACCUGGUACCUCGGCUCUUGCUGCCCUUAUUUUUGGAAGGUAUUUUUGUUAGCUUCGACCAAACCCGUCUUCAGAAUCACUAAGAUUUGAUCUUAAGUGUAGGUUUGUGUGCUCAUGAUUGUUGUUCUGUUUCUGAACCAGACACUUAAUGGUUGCAAAUGCAGGAGAUGGCAGAGCUGUUCUCUGUAGGAAUGGUGAAGCCAUAGACAUGUCUCAAGACCACAAACCCAUCUACUUACCGUAAAGAAGAAAGUCGAAGGAAGUGGCGGCUUUGACGAUGCCAGUUACUUAAAUGGCAUAGCGAUUAGGACAUGAAACUAUCACGAGGGUCAUGAUAUCCACUCAUAGAAGAGCCAGGAGAUCAAAAAGAUACAUGUAAUAGAGGAAGACAAGUUUCUGAUAAUGGGAUGCGAUAAUUCAAAAGGUUUUUGUAUCGUUAGGUGUGAAUUACGUCGUCACCAUGACCCGAUAAAGCUUGCUUUGAGGUCUUUAAGGCUAGAUAAGUUUGCUAACCUAACAGUGGUUGUUUAAUUCUUGUCGGCUGAUGACAUGGCGAUGGUCGCUCCUCUGGUGGAGGAUCAAGUUUGACGGCAUAAGCUUCUCAGAGAUUGAGGGCCUUAUUUGACGGUUGAAUGAAAAGAUAGUAACAUUCCCUUUUGUGUUCUUGGCUGAGCUUUUUCUUUUUGUUGUAUAUUUGGUGUCUGUAUGUAACUUCCAGUGUCUACAUGCCCCAGUUUUGUGUAAGCGGUUAUGUGUUCAUGAAUGGAUUGAAAGUUUUUAUAUGUACAUGCUUCAUUUAGCUUGUAUGCUUGGUCGCUAACUACAUGCAUAUCCAAUUUGUAUGCUUGGUUGGUCGCUAUUUUGUCCACUUUCUUAAGCAAGCAAAUAGUUUUGUAAUAUGAACAUUAACAAUAUACAUUAUUAAACACUUAAGGUUAAUUAGGAACCAACAAUUGUCCAACAUGAAAAUAGUUUUACAUAUUUUUUCACUUUUUAGAAGAUCAUAACUACACUAGAAAUUCUACAAAUUAAUAUUCAAUAAAUUAAUAAACAUUAUAAAUUAAUAAACUUAAUCGAUUUCAAGUUGAGUCAAUUCAAAAUAUGACACAAAUUGAUAAAAUAAUAAGAUAAUAUCUUGUUGAAGAUCCCAUGUAAAUAUAUAGUCUCGCUAAAAUCAUAAUUUAAUAAUUUCUAUAUAUAAAAUUCCUGUAAGUAUAAAUAAUAUAUUAUUGUAUUGUUUGUUUUCGAUUUACAAUGGUAUUAUUUUAUAAUAUCUAAAAAUUUGUCUCUAAAAACACAUUUAAAUUAUAUGAUACAUAUCUCAUAUACAUCAAAUAAUAUAAUAAAAAGGAUAUGCAGGUCGAUGUAUAAAAUUUAAUGAAUAUAUAAACAGUGAAAUCAAAUAUUUUUUCUUAUUAUACGAAAAUAUUUUCAAAAUAUAUAUAUUUAAAAAUUAUUAUUUUUAUAAAUUAAUAAUUCUGUAAAGUAAUAAAUUUAUAUAGUGCCAACAUUUUUAAUAGAGUUUUACUGUAUUUUUAUUUGUCUAUUUUCUCAAACAAAUAGUUUAGUAGUAUGCAUAUUAACACUACAUUAUUAAACACUAAAACUGAACUAUAAGUUUCUGUCUAACAUGAAAAGUUUCUAUAACUUCCAUAAAGCAAUACAUUUACACUUAAAAAAAAAGCUGCAUCCACAUAAAUUGCUAUAUCAGUUGAAUGUCAAAUUAAUCAACAAUACCAUCAAAAAAAAUGUUCAUAUUUAAAUAACAACAAAAAAGUUUAAAGCAAAUAAGAAAACAACUACAAUUAUUAAUACAUCAGUAACCCGCCAUCUAACAAAAGUUCUAUAUAAGAUCUUCAAUAAA